GGAGAUGGGGCGGCGGUCGCUUUGCAUUGCAAAGAGGAAAGUCCGGACCCCACAGAGCAGGGACUCCUCCCGUAAUAGGAGGAUGCCGCGGACAAUAUGCCGCGGAAAGGAAAGCGCAACAGAAAGGAAACCGCCUGAUUCGUCAGGUAAGGGUGAAACGGCGGGGUAAGAGCCCGCAUCCGGCAGGAGUAAUCCGGCAGGAAAGGCAAGCCCGUCCCGGAGCAAGGCCAAAUAGGGAAUGAGCUGUUGCUCGCAGCGUUUGAAUUCCGGGUUCUGGCCGCACAGACAGAUGAUCGCCGCUUCCUUCGGGAAGUUACAGAAUCCGGCUUAUGCCCCAUCUCCGCUU
rnacentral:RNase_P_RNA from 1 species